UACAGAGGUCUCGAGCGUUGUUCGGAUUCAUUGGGCGUAAAGGGUGCGUAGGUGGCGUGGUAAGUCUGGUGUGAAAUCCCGGGGCUCAACCCCGGAACUGCACUGGAUACUGCCAUGCUUGAGUACUGGAGAGGAGAUUGGAAUUUACGGUGUAGCAGUGAAAUGCGUAGAUAUCGUAAGGGAAGACCAGUGGCGAAGGCGAAUCUCUGGACAGUUACUGACACUGAGGCACGAAGGCCAGGGGAGCAAACGGG
rnacentral:rRNA from 1 species